GGAAAGCUUAAUUCCUGAUGGUGUAUAAAGCAGAAAAGCAGUUUCAUCCCCCAGGUUAUCACGGGGUUGGACAGGGAACACAUACAGUAAAUUGAUGGCCAUACUGAAUAGUUGUUCCACAAUUUAGAGAUGUGGUUAUAAUUAUUUGUCUGAUUGUUUCCAUUAAAGGAAAAGCAGUAGCAAGAAUGGAGCUGAAAUAAUGGUUAUUUGAGCGAGUUUUGUUUCUUUUAGGGCUGUUGGGGCAGUCUGGUUUUCUUAGUGAAACCCAUGUUAAAUAUCAGUUUACUUAUGAGAAAAUAAUUGUUUAUAUUCUAAAGAAUGGUGAACUUAAUUCUAGUUCAAAAUGAAUAAAUGGAAUGAUCUCUUUUUUUAGAUUGAAAAAGGGAAGAGAAGAAUAACGGAUCACCUGUAAGCAGUUCAUGGGGCUGUUCCAGGAGCAAGGAAGGCAGACAGCACCAAAACUGCACUUGGGUACCAAAUCCUUUCCUCCAGCAGUUAGCUGUUACCUUUAGUGAAAAAUGGACUGGAAAUGUUUGAGUCUCGGUCAAUACUUGGCUCAAGUAGCAUUUUACAAACACUUGUAAAUGUAAUUCUUGUAAUUCUGAUUUCUGUAAAGAAUAUUUCAGAAAGAGAAACAAAAGCUUUGCUAGCAGGGAACAUUUUAAAACUAUGACAAGAGUAAUUUUUUUUUGAGUGAGCAGUUAAUGAAACAUUGCCCUGUUACCUGACACCCUUAAUGUUAAUAUCUGACUGAGGUUCUUGUGAUUAAGUACAUCAUGUGCCUCGUAGCACCCAGCUAUGUGCUAUUUUGGUAUGUGUGCCAUCGGGUCAGCCUGAGCCUUUGGCGGAUGCACACCGGCUGUAGCUUUUGCCCGUAUGAAGCUUUUUUCACACAAGCCUUAUUAUGAGUUCUUUAUUGAAAAAUACACUUGCAAUAUUUUCAUACAAAUGAAUGUAAAUGGUACAGAAUAACAAGAAUUGUCUGACAAGUUCAUAAAUAUUUUUACAGAAACAUUACACCACUGCUUGACUUCAGCCCUUCUUACACAGGACACGUUUGACUAUGAGUGCCUCGGUACAAUGCUCCCAUGUUUGAUACAUAUGCAACUUCCUAUUCCAAAGCUGAAAAUGGUCAAGCAUUGAUGAAAACACUGUAAGUAGACUGGUUGAGCAAAUGGAUUUAAAUACCUGUUGCAAGGUAGAAAGCUGUAUUAGGGAUGCGUUCUUCAAGCAAUAAAAAACUUUGAACUGCCUUCUGAAGCCAAAGCCUGCAGGUAGGUCACUUGCCUUCUGCUCAGCUUUACAACAGGCAGAGUGGAGCUGCAGAGUACAGAACGCAUCCUCUCUGGCACUGCAGAAGC
rnacentral:lncRNA from 1 species